GACGAACGCUGGUGGCGUGCUUAACACAUGCAAGUCGAGCGGUAAGGCUCCUUCGGGAGUACACGAGCGGCGAACGGGUGAGUAACACGUGAGCAAUCUGCCCUUCACUUUGGGAUAACUCCGGGAAACCGGUGCUAAUACCGAAUGCGACCACUUCAGGCAUCUGACGGUGGUGGAAGGUUCCGGCGGUGAAGGAUGAGCUCGCGGCCUAUCAGCUUGUUGGUGAGGUAAUGGCUCACCAAGGCUUCGACGGGUAGCCGGCCUGAGAGGGUGACCGGCCACACUGGGACUGAGACACGGCCCAGACUCCUACGGGAGGCAGCAGUGGGGAAUAUUGGACAAUGGGCGAAAGCCUGAUCCAGCAACGCCGCGUGAGGGAUGACGGCCUCGGUUGUAACGUACUUCUAGCAGGACGAAGCGAAAGUAGACGGUAACCGUCGCAAAGAAAGACACCGGCCGAACCUAACGUCGCCACGCAGCCGCGGUAAACGUACUAACUG
rnacentral:rRNA from 1 species